UACGAAGGGGGCUAGCGUUGCUCGGAAUCACUGGGCGUAAAGGGUGCGUAGGCGGGUCUUUUAAGUCAGGGGUGAAAUCCUGGAGCUCAACUCCAGAACUGCCUUUGAUACUGAAGAUCUUGAGUUCGGGAGAGGUGAGUGGAACUGCGAGUGUAGAGGUGAAAUUCGUAGAUAUUCGCAAGAACACCAGUGGCGAAGGCGGCUCACUGGCCCGAUACUGACGCUCAUGCACGAAAAGCGUGGGGAGCAAACAGG
rnacentral:rRNA from 1 species